rnacentral:rRNA from 1 species
AUGGCAGUGGCCGCCUCUCCAUCUCUCACUCUUCCUCCACCCGCGCAGCGCGCCACCCCAAAGCCGCGCCGCCGCACGCCGCCGCGAUACGUGGUCUCAUGGACGUCCGCCAUCGCGCGCUCGGCGCGGGAGGGCGACCUGCCGGCGACGGCCGCAGCGCUCUCGGCCAUGCUCUCCUCCCCCGCCGCGCCCGCGCCCGCGCCCAACGACGUCACCCUCCACACCGUCCUUUCCGCCUGCGCCGUCGCCCCCACCUCCCCGCUCGCCCGGCCCCUCGCGCUAUCGCUCCACGCCCUCGCCAUCAAGCUCUUCCCCGGCCACCUCCUCCUCUGCACCUGCCUCGCGCGGUUCUACCUCGCGUCCCGCCUCCCCCACCACGCCUCCAGCUGUUCGGCUUCAUGCCCGUCAGUGUUCGACGGAAUGCCGGACCCGGACAAGGUCUCCUGGACGGCGCUCAUCGACGGGUUCAUCAAGAACGGGCGCCACGACGUGGCGAUCUACUGCUUCCAUGCCAUGCUGCUGGACGGCGUCCAGCCAGACUACGUCACGCUGGUAGCUGCUAUCUCCGCGUGCGCCGAGCUCGGCGCGCUCGGUCUCGGUAUGUGGGUGCACCGGUUCGUGACCAGGCAGAGGCUGGAGGGCAACAUCCGCAUCGUCAACUCGUUGAUCCACAUGUACGCUCGGUGCGGUCAGGUGGAGUUCGCACGGCAGGUGUUUGACAGCAUGAGGAAGCGGACGGUGGUCUCCUGGAACACGAUGAUCGUCGGGUUCGCAGCCAACGGACGGUGCACGGACGCUAUCGACCAUUUUGAGGCGAUGCGGAGGAAGGGGUUGAAACCAGAUACGGUGACCUUCACGGGCGUCCUCAUGGCCUGCAGCCACGCCGGUCUGACGGACGAGGGGCUGAGGUACUAUGACGCCAUGAAGGCGGAAGCGGAACACGGCAUCACAGCAAGGAUGGAGCACUACGGGUGCGUGGUCGACCUGCUCGGACGGGCCGGGCGCCUGGACGAGGCCAUGAGUGUGGUGGCUACCAUGCCGAUGCGGCCGAACGAGGUGGUGCUCGGAGCCCUGCUCGCCGGCUGCCGGAUGCACGGGGACGUGGACAUGGCCGAGCAGCUGAUGCAGUACCUCCUCAAGCAGGACCCCGGCGGCGACUCAAACUACGUGCUGCUGUCGAACAUCUAUGCUGCCGAGGGGAAAUGGGAUGGCGCGGGCAAGGUCCGGAGCCUUAUGAAAUCCCGGGGAGUGAAGAAGAGGCUAGGCCGCAGCGCCGUGGAGAUCGACGGUGGUGUGCAUGAGUUUGUCUGCGGGGAUCGGUCUCAUCCGCAGGCUGAGGAGGUGUUCGACAUGCUUGGCCUGCUCAGCCAUGAGAUGGCAAGGCAUGAGGUGUGA